AUUGAACGCUGGCGGCAGGCCUAACACAUGCAAGUCGAACGAGUGGCGGACGGGUGAGUAAUGUCCGGGAAACUGCCUGAUGGUGGGCGAUAACUACUGGAAACGGUAGCUAUUACUGCACACCAUCGGAUGUGUCCAGAUGGGAUUAGCUAGUUGGUGGGGUAACGGCUCACCUAGGCAACGAUCCGUAGCUGGUCUGAGAGGAUGACCAGCCACACGGGAACUGAGACACGGUCCAGACUCCUACGGGAGGCGGCAGUGGGGAGUAUUGCACAAUGGGCGCAAGCCUGAUGCAGCCAUGCCGCGUGGCUGAAGGAGGCCGUCGGGUUGUAAAGUACAUUCAGCGGGGAGGCGUUACCCGCAGAAGAAGCACCGGCUAACUCCGUGCCAGCAGCCGCGGUAAUAC
rnacentral:rRNA from 1 species